rnacentral:rRNA from 1 species
ACGACUACAUAUCAGGCAUAUCAAUAAGCGGAGGAAAAGAAACUAACAAGGAUUCCCCUAGUAACGGCGAGUGAAGCGGGAAGAGCUCAAAUUUGAAAUCUUAAAGGGUUUCCCUUUACGAAUUGUAGUUUAAAGAAGUGUUUUCUGUUGGAGUUUCGGUAAAAGUUCUUUGGAAUAGGACAUCAUAGAGGGUGAGAAUCCCGUAUUUGACCGUUACUUUCCAGCUGCGUGAUACACUUUCAAAGAGUCGGAUUGUUUGGGAAUGCAGUCCAAAAUGGGUGGUAAAUUUCAUCUAAAGCUAAAUAUUGGCGAGAGACCGAUAGCGAACAAGUACCGUGAGGGAAAGAUGAAAAGAACUUUGAAAAGAGAGUUAAACAGUACGUGAAAUUGUCAAAAGGGAAGCGUUUGACACCAGUGUUGUUUAGUUGAAAAUCAAUUAAAUAGUUUUCGAUUCUAAGUAGUAUUGACCUUAUCAGCUUGCUGCUUUCUUCUCGGAAAUUAUUUAAUGCACUUUUCAGUUAACAAGUCAACAUCAAUUUCUUUUGUUGUAAAAAGGUAAGAGGAAGGUGGCUUGCGCUUCGGCUCAAGUGUUUAUAGCCUUUUACUUCUGCAAUCGGAGAGAUUGAGGUCUGCAGCGUAGAUCCUUCGGGGUUAGAUACAUUUGUGCUAAGCUAUAGCCUUGUAUAGACAACUUGUUGACUAUGCUCAGUCAUGUAGCUUACUCGCUUAUGCUAUUUUACCUACGCUUAGGAUGUUGAAUCUGUGCGAGACUAC